ACAGGAAUCUGGUUCCUGAAAGUACUGAGUUGUCGCAGGAGCGACCCUGGGAGAUGGUCAGCAAGGACUCGUGGUAGGUGGUCCCAGGGGCAGGCACUCCCCGCAGAGAAGCCAAGACAGUAGACAGACGUGUUUCAGUUGUAACUGACGUCACAUGGCCGAGGAGCGUGAUCACAACCGAGGCCGGUACCUGGAGGUCGACUUCAACCCCUGUUCGAGCGAGACAUAGAAGCUGUUCCGGGGCCACUGCUAUUCAGUAGUUGUUAUCUGAGAUAAGUGUGACCUGAGGCUCCUGUGUGGUGGUGAUCUUCUGAUAACAGAGCUAUCGAGCCCCAGCCUGUCAAUCUUGUUGGAACCCUCGAGAAGGGGACAGGCCCCCAGACCUUCGUCCAUGAGGACAGUCACUCUUCCUGUGUUUUCCUUUGCAGAUAGGACAGGGCCGUGGUGGCUUUUUGGGGCAUUCUCGUUUGAAGUGCCCCAUUUGCCCACAUUUGUAACAGGCACCUGGGUUCCUCAGGUUGACGGGACGGCUUGUCCUUUUAGGGCCGCCACUAGAAAAAUGGCUUUCUCUUGUUGACUCCUUUCCUUUUCCUGGGCCUGCUGUGGGUCUCUAUCAAAGAAGACGGAAUUAGCCGUCUUUGGGAGGGCCUCUAGGGAGCUGUCCAGACCGAUGGCCAUCUUUCGCAAUUUCCUCCAAAUAUCAGGAGCUCAUUGAGUUACAAACUUAUGUUUUAAUAUUAUUUCUCCCUCUGGAGUAUCCGGGACCAGAGAGGUAUGUUUUAUUAGAACCUCUCUCAGUCUCAGAAGUUAGAAGAGGGCUCAAAGGACCCCUGAACGGCACAGGCCAUCUUAGAAUAGUUUAAAGGCUUCGCCCUAGCCCAAUCCUUCUAAAACACAUGCCUUUUGUUUCCAGAUUCCCAAGGAAUGAUCACAGUCAUGGGGUGUUCUAGAAACCGCCUGUUUACCAGUGGGCAAGUCUCUUCACCUACUUGUGUUCUUCCCCAUACACGGGUUCAUCCCCCAAGGCGCCAGCAGCCUGUAGGGCGGCUUGCUUUUCAGUAAAAAUCAACAUUCAUCUUUUCAGUCUAAUUCAAACAUUUGAGUCAAAUUUUGAAAGGCUUCAAUAUAUUGGUCAGGGUUACAAGGUGAAUGUUCCCAAAUCCCUUUUAAUCUGUUUAAAUCUUGGAGACAGAACGGUACAUGUACCUUAAUUGGGCCGAAUUCACUAGGCCCGUCAUUUAAUGGACAUAACGAGUGCAGCUUUUUUCAUCGGGGAGACUUUUGGUCCCCGGCAUCCUGGGGUAAGGAGGGCAAGAAGGCUUAGAGGGUGGUACACCGGGGAAGGAACCUCAGGGACUGAGUUACUAGGUAUUUGCUUUUCUUGGUCUUUUACGGAGGCCAGGAGAAUGGGGCCCAAUUUAUAGAUCUUCCAUAAAUCUGUCUGCUCUUCCAGAGUGAAAAAAGCCUUCACAUGAGGAACUUCAGCCCAUUUACCCUCUCUUCUAACUGUAAGAUAGUAUUAUAUUUAAUACUUCCCUCUGGGGGCCAAAUUUCACCAUGCUUCAGGCGACACUAAGACCAGGCCAGAGAACAGAAAAAAUUCAUGCAUUUCCUUUUAAGCGUCUGUGGAUCAAACUUUUCCCAGGCUUUCAGGUGCAUUCCAGAGGAGUCCCUGCAGAGGAUAGUGUGUUUCGCAUCUCUCGAUCCCGGUAGGAGUGUCACCCUGUACCAGUUACAGAGAGGGGACUAUGAAUGUGUCCCUGCAUAGCAGCUCUCUCUUGUAAGCCAACGGGUCCCUUAGCUGGCCUACCCAAGGUGAGAGGAUGGCCUAACGUCUUGGGUUGAGGAAGUGAUCAGGCCAGCAGGAACAGCCAUCCUUACCUGCUCUGGUCACCUGAUCCCCCUGGUCUCCUCUGGAUUUCCCAAAAGUCUGGCCUAAUCAUGAUGGGUUUAACAAGGUCAACAGUUUAAACUUUGAUAUUCUCUUAGAAGGCUAAGAAUGCCGGCGAAACAGCUAAGGUCUCUUACUGGAACGUGUGUGCUUCUUAUGCAUGAAGCUUCCCUGGGGUGUGACCCCCAGGGCCGGUCUCCAGCCUUUUAUGUGUCAUGGAAACCCCAGGUCACCAGUGGUGACCAAAGGUCAAGUUCAGAGCGCUGGAUUAAACAAUCCUGUUGUGUGCUCCCUGGAUGAACCUUAAACAAAGCAGGAAUCCUUUUUAAUGGCCUCCUUCUUCAGAGCUCUCUUGAUUGGGCUCUCGGUGUUUGGUCACAGAAGUUCACUUGCAUCCCCAGCCCAAUGGUGCCUGAUUGAUCAGGCUAAUUAUAAGCCAAUUUCAAUUACCGUGUCCUCACCUGACCCUUCGAGCACUUUUUCUGUCCGUAUACCUGAUGUCUCAUUUGCAAGUGUGGCCCUGUUGAGGGGUGCAGGCCCUGAGACUGCCAUCGUCAUAGUUCCAUAGUCUUUGUUGUUGGCACAAGAAAGUCUCAACUCUGUGACCCAUUAAAGCCCCAGCCACCAAUGCAACCAAUCGAGCAGUUGGCCGGGGGUUUGUAAUUCCCGCCUGAAUGCCCAAAGAAUUCCAAGGAGAGUAAACGCCCAGGAGACAUCAGGCUGCCUCCAACUUGUCCCAUAAAGAGAUAGCUCUUACCCUGCCUGCCGAUAAUUUGGGUUUUAAUUCCUGGCUGUGAUUGAACCUAAAUUGUACCCAACAGAAAAACAUACGUCUUACCAUGCAGCAAAAAAUGAGGGAAAGGUUGUUCUUCCUAAACUAAGUUCUCAUGAAAGACACUUGAAGAGAAAAUGUCUUAUAUCUACACAGGCAACACCUUCCCCCAGACGACAAAGUCGGCGGGACCACUUUCAGAACCGUUGAGCCCAUGACUUCCCAGGUGCUUAGAGAAGGCAUUGCCGAGAAUAAAAAGUGAUUCUAAAUCCUGAAAUGAACCCCUGAUUAGAAGGGUGUACCAGGGGCGCCUGGGUGGCACAGCGGUUAAGCGUCUGCCUUCGGCUCAGGGCGUGAUCCCGGCGUUAUGGGUUUGAGCCCCACAUCAGG